rnacentral:sRNA from 1 species
GAGACUGGGGUGGAGACUUCGGAGACUGCAGUUGCAGUUGUUCCGUGUAGGCUGUUGUUGACUCUCGUAUGAAAGCCCACGCGAUCCAAGUGCCCUGCAGGUUUUGGUCCAGGGAAAAGUUGGUCUCUGCAGAUGACUGUAAAUGACUACCUGGAGGUCGAUUAAAGUGCGGUACUGCGGGAUUCAGCCGAUUUCCUUCUUCCUCUGACUGUCCGGAAAUAUCAGCCAAAGGCCAGCGGUAGUAAUUAACACAAUUACCUGCCUAUGAUUUCUGUCCUAUUUAAGAUGGGUUCUAUUAUGUUUUUAUCUAUACUUGUCUUCAUUAACUUUUCGUGAUAUCAUAAGCCCCCCGAAUCCCUCGAAAGUAGAUGGGAUUCUGAGCACACACACACACAAAUUCAGAUCCCCAAAGGACAGUAAAACGAAUUAUUGGCUUAAUAUAUCAUCUUAGCUAACCAAAAGCCUGUGUCAGCUGCCAUAUUGAAAAUCUGCUUGCCAGCUGCAGGGAGCUUACAAUCUGGUAAGGCAAAUAAAUCAUACGCAUAAAAAGUACAAUAAGAGACAGUGUAAAGAUAUGUAAGUGAUACUAAUACCCAUAUCAGCAAUGAUCAUAACUCGCUUCUCCAUUUUUAACUAAGAAUCAUAUAACCUUUCCUUCUUGUCGUUUUAAACUGAUUUUUAUAACUUUGAUACAUUACGUUUCUGUUUCCAAAACACUUCUGUGUACGUUAUUGCACAUGU